CAAGACGGCCCAAGGUUUCUUGCGUAGCGGACCUCGCAGAUUACGAGAUCGUAUCCUUGCAUUAGGCUGUGCUCAUCACUGCUCUUCGAGGUUAUCUCUACAUGCAGAAGCCGCCAAUGCCAGUGACAGAAGAGUCUGACAUUAGAUCUCUACGCUAUGCGGCACACAGGCAGUACACACUAUGUACACGGCAAAUUGGGCAAGCACGUUCGUUGUCGUCUUCCAGCCUGCGUUGUGAAUACCAUCAGGCAAAGAUAUCCAAAUCCUGCACCACCUCAGCCUUCUCAGGAGGCUUCCACCUGGAAUUUGGCAGGGAAACACGCUUCUCCAAGGCAGGAACAUGGAGGUUGCCAUUUGCAACCGCUACCACCUCACACAUGAGCUUGUCAACAUACUCAUAGCUCUUUCUGUCGUAUAAUUUUCUAUUUGGCCACAGUCUUCUUUAUGCUUUGAGAACUGGACUUUAUACCUUCC